GAUGAACGCUGGCGGCGUGCCUAAUACAUGCAAGUCGAGCGAACGGACGAGAAGCUUGCUUCUCUGAUGUUAGCGGCGGACGGGUGAGUAACACGUGGAUAACCUACCUAUAAGACUGGGAUAACUUCGGGAAACCGGAGCUAAUACCGGAUAAUAUUUUGAACCGCAUGGUUCAAAAGUAAAAGACGGUCUUGCUGUCACUUAUAGAUGGAUCCGCGCUGCAUUAGCUAGUUGGUAAGGUAACGGCUUACCAAGGCAACGAUGCAUAGCCGACCUGAGAGGGUGAUCGGCCACACUGGAACUGAGACACGGUCCAGACUCCUACGGGAGGCAGCAGUAGGGAAUCUUCCGCAAUGGGCGAACGCCUGACGGAGCAACGCCGCGUGAGUGAUGAAGGUCUUCGGAUCGUAAAACUCUGUUAUUAGGGAAGAACAUAUGUGUAAGUAACUGUGCACAUCUUGACGGUACCUAAUCAGAAAGCCACGGCUAACUAUGUG
rnacentral:rRNA from 1 species